GUGCCAGCAGCCGCGGUAAUACGUAGGGGGCGAGCGUUAUCCGGAGUUACUGGGCGUAAAGCGCACGCAGGCGGUUCGAUUAGUCUGCCGUGACAGUCGUCGGCUUAACUGACGAAGUACGGUGGAAACUGUCGAACUUGAGGGCUUCAGAGGGACACGGAAUUCCGGGUGGAGUGGUGAAAUGCGUAGAUAUCCGGAGGAACACCGAUGGCGAAGGCAGUGUCCUGGGAAGUACCUGACGCUCAGGUGCGAAAGCUAGGGGAGCGAACAGGAUUAGAUACCCUGGUAGUCC
rnacentral:rRNA from 1 species